rnacentral:rRNA from 1 species
UACGGGGGGGGCAAGCGUUGUUCGGAAUUACUGGGCGUAAAGGGCUCGUAGGUGGCCAACUAAGUCACACGUGAAAUCCCUCGGCUUAACCGGGGAACUGCGUGUGAUACUGGAUGGCUUGAGUUUGGGAGAGGGAUGCGGAAUUCCAGGUGUAGCGGUGAAAUGCGUAGAUAUCUGGAGGAACACCGGUGGCGAAGGCGGCAUCCUGGACCAAUACUGACGCUGAGGAGCGAAAGCCAGGGGAGCAAACGGG